rnacentral:sRNA from 1 species
GCCAGGUGCAGUGGUGCACAUCUGUAAUCCCAGCUGUUCAGGAGGCUGAUGCAGGAGGAUCACAGGUUUUAGGCCAGCAUGGGCAACUUAGUGAGACCUUGUCUCAA